GAUGAACGCUGGCGGCGUGCCUAAUACAUGCAAGUCGAGCGAACAGACGAGGAGCUUGCUCCUCUGACGUUAGCGGCGGACGGGUGAGUAACACGUGGAUAACCUACCUAUAAGACUGGGAUAACUUCGGGAAACCGGAGCUAAUACCGGAUAAUAUAUUGAACCGCAUGGUUCAAUAGUGAAAGACGGUUUUGCUGUCACUUAUAGAUGGAUCCGCGCCGCAUUAGCUAGUUGGUAAGGUAACGGCUUACCAAGGCAACGAUGCGUAGCCGACCUGAGAGGUGGUCCGGCCAACUUGGAAUGAGGCACGGUCCAAGCUCCCAAGGGGAGGAACCGUAAGGAAACUUUCGCAAAGGGCGGAAGGCCGGAGGGACAACGCCGGGGGGGGGGAGGAAGUCUUCGGGUCGUAAAAAUCUGGUUAUUGGGGAAAAAAAAUGGGGAAAUAACCAUGCACGUCUUGAACGUAACUAAUCAAAAAGCCAAGGGUAAAUUCGGGC
rnacentral:rRNA from 1 species